CACGUAGGGGGCGAGCGUUGUCCGGAUUUAUUGGGCGUAAAGAGCUCGUAGGCGGCUCGGUAAGUCAGGUGUGAAAACUCUAGGCUCAACCUAGAGACGCCACCUGAUACUGCCGUGGCUAGAGUCCGGUAGGGGAGCAUGGAAUUCCUGGUGUAGCGGUGAAAUGCGCAGAUAUCAGGAGGAACACCAGUGGCGAAGGCAGCUCGCUGGGACGGUACUGACGCUGAGACGCGAAAGCGUGGGGAGCAAACAGG
rnacentral:rRNA from 1 species